rnacentral:rRNA from 1 species
AGAGUUUGAUCCUGGCUCAGGACGAACGCUGGCGGCGUGCUUAACACAUGCAAGUCAAGGGGGCCCGCAAGGGUAACCGGCGAACGGGUGCGUAACACGUGAGCAACCUGCCUAGGUGUGGGGGAUAGCCGGCCCAACGGCCGGGUAAUACCGCAUACGAUCACUAGUCGGCAUCGACAUGUGAUGAAACUUUCGAGGCGCUUAGAGGGGCUCGCGGCCUAUCAGCUUGUUGGUGGGGUAAUGGCCUACCAAGGCUACGACGGGUAGCUGGUCUGAGAGGAUGGCCAGCCACAUUGGGACUGAGAUACGGCCCAGACUCCUACGGGAGGCAGCAGUGGGGAAUAUUGCGCAAUGGGCGAAAGCCUGACGCAGCGACGCCGCGUGGGGGAUGAAGCAUUUCGGUGUGUAAACCCCUGUUGCUCGGGACGAACAACUGGAUUCAUCCAGUCUGACGGUACCGGGUGAGGAAGCACCGGCUAACUCCGUGCCAGCAGCCGCGGUGAUACGGAGGGUGCGAGCGUUGUCCGGAAUCACUGGACGUAAAGGGCGCGUAGGCGGUCUGCUAAGCGUGUGGUGAAAGCUCGGGGCUCAACCCCGAGUCUGCCAUGCGAACUGGUGGACUUGAGCACUGUAGAGGCAGGUGGAAUUCCGGGUGUAGCGGUGGAAUGCGUAGAGAUCCGGAAGAACACCAGUGGCGAAGGCGGCCUGCUGGGCAGUUGCUGACGCUGAGGCGCGACAGCGUGGGGAGCAAACAGGAUUAGAUACCCUGGUAGUCCACGCCGUAAACGAUGGGAACUAGAUGCUUGGGGGAGCGACCCCCCGAGUGUCGGCGCUAACGCAUUAAGUUCCCCGCCUGGGGAGUACGGCCGCAAGGCUGAAACUCAAAGGAAUUGACGGGACCCGCACAAGCGGUGGAUGAUGUGGUUUAAUUCGAUGCAACGCGAAAAACCUUACCUACCCUUGACAUGCCAAGAACUGGCCAGAGAUGGUUGGGUGCUCGAAAGAGAGCUUGGACACAGGUGCUGCAUGGCCGUCGUCAGCUAGUGUCGUGAGAUGUUGGGUUAAGUCCCGCAACGAGCGCAACCCUUGUCAUUAGUUGCUACGAAAGGGCACUCUAAUGAGACUGCCGGUGACAAACCGGAGGAAGGUGGGGAUGACGUCAGGUCAUCAUGGCCCUUAUGGGUAGGGCUACACACGUCAUACAAUGGCCGGUACAGAGGGUUGCCAACCCGCGAGGGGGAGCCAAUCCCAGAAAACCGGUCGUAGUCCGGAUCGUAGUCUGCAACUCGACUGCGUGAAGUCGGAAUCGCUAGUAAUCGCGGAUCAGCUUGCCGCGGUGAAUACGUUCCCGGGUCUUGUACACACCGCCCGUCACACCAUGGGAGCGGGUUCUGCCAGAAGUAGUUAGCUUAACCGCAAGGAGGGCGAUUACCACGGCAGGGUUCGUGACUGGGGUGAAGUCGUAACAAGGUA